AGAGUUUGAUCCUGGCUCAGAUUGAACGCUGGCGGCAGGCUUAACACAUGCAAGUCGAGCGGUAGCACAGGGGAGCUUGCUCCCUGGGUGACGAGCGGCGGACGGGUGAGUAAUGUCUGGGAAACUGCCUGAUGGAGGGGGAUAACUUAUGGAAACGGUAGCUAAUACCGCAUAACGUCGCAAGACCAAAGAGGGGGACCUUCGGGCCUCUUGCCAUCAGAUGUGCCCAGAUGGGAUUAGCUAGUAGGUGGGGUAAUGGCUCACCUAGGCGACGAUCCCUAGCUGGUCUGAGAGGAUGACCAGCCACACUGGAACUGAGACACGGUCCAGACUCCUACGGGAGGCAGCAGUGGGGAAUAUUGCACAAUGGGCGCAAGCCUGAUGCAGCCAUGCCGCGUGUGUGAAGAAGGCCUUCGGGUUGUAAAGCACUUUCAGCGAGGAGGAAGGUGGUGAACUUAAUACGUUCAUCAAUUGACGUUACUCGCAGAAGAAGCACCGGCUAACUCCGUGCCAGCAGCCGCGGUAAUACGGAGGGUGCAAGCGUUAAUCGGAAUUACUGGGCGUAAAGCGCACGCAGGCGGUUUGUUAAGUCAGAUGUGAAAUCCCCGGGCUCAACCUGGGAACUGCAUUUGAAACUGGCAAGCUAGAGUCUCGUAGAGGGGGGUAGAAUUCCAGGUGUAGCGGUGAAAUGCGUAGAGAUCUGGAGGAAUACCGGUGGCGAAGGCGGCCCCCUGGACGAAGACUGACGCUCAGGUGCGAAAGCGUGGGGAGCAACAGGAUUAGAUACCCUGGUAGUCCACGCUGUAAACGAUGUCGAUUUGGAGGUUGUGCCCUUGAGGCGUGGCUUCCGGAGCUAACGCGUUAAAUCGACCGCCUGGGGAGUACGGCCGCAAGGUUAAAACUCAAAUGAAUUGACGGGGGCCCGCACAAGCGGUGGAGCAUGUGGUUUAAUUCGAUGCAACGCGAAGAACCUUACCUACUCUUGACAUCCAGAGAACUUAGCAGAGAUGCUUUGGUGCCUUCGGGAACUCUGAGACAGGUGCUGCAUGGCUGUCGUCAGCUCGUGUUGUGAAAUGUUGGGUUAAGUCCCGCAACGAGCGCAACCCUUAUCCUUUGUUGCCAGCGGUUCGGCCGGGAACUCAAAGGAGACUGCCAGUGAUAAACUGGAGGAAGGUGGGGAUGACGUCAAGUCAUCAUGGCCCUUACGAGUAGGGCUACACACGUGCUACAAUGGCGUAUACAAAGAGAAGCGACCUCGCGAGAGCAAGCGGACCUCAUAAAGUACGUCGUAGUCCGGAUUGGAGUCUGCAACUCGACUCCAUGAAGUCGGAAUCGCUAGUCGUCUCGGAUCAGCAUGAGGCGGUGAAUGAUUUUCCGGGCCUUGUACACACCGCCCGUCACCCCAUGGGAGUGGCGGCAAAAGAAGUAGGUAGCUUAACCUUUUGGAUGGCCCUUACUCCGAUUUGAUUCAUGACUCGGGUGAAGU
rnacentral:rRNA from 1 species